rnacentral:lncRNA from 1 species
GUCACGUGUCAUUGUCAGUAGAAAUCCUGACUGAGUGUCUGUCCUGUGGCCUGUGAUAUGCCUGGAAGAGCAGCACAUCUGUGGUCCUUUAUCCUGUUAAAUCAUCCCACUUUUCUAGCAAAUUCAGCCCUUUAUUUACUAGGGACUGAUCCAGGGCCCACUAAGGACAAGAAGAGUCUUUCUGUUGACUUCAGUGGACAUUGGAUGAGGUGUUUAGCAUGCUUUCUCUGCCAUGGAGGCAUAGACACAGUGGAUCACCUGAGGGCCUGAUCCUGAGGGAUGCUGAGUCCCUGCAGCUCCCAUUGACUGCAGCACCUCUCAGGAUCAGGUUCCUAAUGAACAGGCAUAAUAAAUAAAUAAUAAAUGUGCUUUUAAAUGUGUUGGACCUAAUAUUAUGGAGAGCCCCCCUUGAAACUGAUUACUCUUCCGGAUGAUCUGGGUCCUGCCAUUUUGUGGAUUGACCUGCUCAGAGGAUCACUUUCAACAGAGAUGUCCCACUGUACUGAGAGAUACUUGAUACCAAGAAUGGCUGGAGAUUGUUGGGAUGAUACAGAGAAGAAUGAAAGGACAUAUUUAAAAGGAAAGCAAAGACCCCUGGCCACCGAGGAGGGCUCCUUAAAGACUGGGAAUGGACAAAGAAGGGUUCCCUCUGUACACAGGAGAGGAGAUCCAAAUGCAGAAAUAGGGAACAGAAUGUCUGGUAUCGAUGUCGGGAUCAUCUUGAAGUUCUGGAGAAAAAACAACAACCGAAAAGAAUUUCUAGCUAUGGUUGUGAAAGACGAUUAUCACAGCAUAUGA